UGGCUCAGAUUGAACGCUGGCGGCAUGCCUUACACAUGCAAGUCGAACGGUAACAGGUCUUUAGGGAUGCUGACGAGUGGCGAACGGGUGAGUAAUACAUCGGAACGUGCCUAGUAGUGGGGGAUAACUACUCGAAAGAGUGGCUAAUACCGCAUGAGAUCUAUGGAUGAAAGCAGGGGACCUUCGGGCCUUGUGCUACUAGAGCGGCCGAUGGCAGAUUAGGUAGUUGGUGGGAUAAAAGCUUACCAAGCCUACGAUCUGUAGCUGGUCUGAGAGGACGAUCAGCCACACUGGGACUGAGACACGGCCCAGACUCCUACGGGAGGCAGCAGUGGGGAAUUUUGGACAAUGGGCGCAAGCCUGAUCCAGCAAUGCCGCGUGCAGGAUGAAGGCCUUCGGGUUGUAAACUGC
rnacentral:rRNA from 1 species